UACGUAGGUGGCAAGCGUUGUCCGGAUUUACUGGGCGUAAAGAGCGCGCAGGCGGUCGGAUAAGUCGAAUGUGAAAGCCCCUGGCUCAACCAGGGAGGGUCAUUCGAUACUGUUCGACUCGAAGGCAGGAGAGGGAAGUGGAAUUCCGGGUGUAGUGGUGAAAUGCGUAGAUAUCCGGAGGAACACCGGUGGCGAAGGCGGAUCUCUGGGCCUUACCUGACGCUCAGGUGCGAAAGCUAGGGGAGCCGAACAGGA
rnacentral:rRNA from 1 species